rnacentral:rRNA from 1 species
ACGUAGGGGGCGAGCGUUGUCCGGAAUUAUUGGGCGUAAAGAGCUCGUAGGCGGUCUGGUAAGUCGAAUGUGAAAACUCAGGGCUUAACCCUGAGAGGCCAUCCGAUACUGCCAUGACUUGAGUCCGGUAGAGGAGUGUGGAAUUUCUGGUGUAGCGGUGAAAUGCGCAGAUAUCAGAAGGAACACCAACGGCGAAGGCAGCACUCUGGGCCGGUACUGACGCUGAGGAGCGAAAGCGUGGGGAGCAAACAGG